rnacentral:rRNA from 1 species
GUGAACGCUGGCGGUAGGCCUAACACAUGCAAGUCGAACGGCAGCACAGUAAGAGCUUGCUCUUACGGGUGGCGAGUGGCGGACGGGUGAGGAAUACAUCGGAAUCUACUUUUUCGUGGGGGAUAACGUAGGGAAACUUACGCUAAUACCGCAUACGACCUACGGGUGAAAGCAGGGGAUCUUCGGACCUUGCGCGAUUGAAUGAGCCGAUGUCGGAUUAGCUAGUUGGCGGGGUAAAGGCCCACCAAGGCGACGAUCCGUAGCUGGUCUGAGGGGAUGAUCAGCCACACUGGAACUGAGACACGGUCCAGACUCCUACGGGAGGCAGCAGUGGGGAAUAUUGGACAAUGGGCGCAAGCCUGAUCCAGCCAUACCGCGUGGGUGAAGAAGGCCUUCGGGUUGUAAAGCCCUUUUGUUGGGAAAGAAAAGCAGCAGGUUAAAACCCCGCUGUUCUGACGGUACCCAAAGAAUAAGCACCGGCUAACUUCGUG